AGAUUGAACGCUGGCGGCAUGCCUAACACAUGCAAGUCGAGCGGCAGCGCGGGGGCGACCCUGGCGGCGAGCGGCGGACGGGUGAGUAAGGCAUCGGAAUCUGCCCUGAUGUGGGGGAUAACGUAGGGAAACUUACGCUAAUACCGCAUACGACCGAGAGGUGAAAGCGGGGGACCGGAAACGGACCUCGCGCAGCAGGAUGAGCCGAUGUCCGAUUAGCUGGUUGGUUGGGGUAACGGCCCGACCAACGGCGACGAUCGGUAGCUGGUCUGAGAGGAUGAUCAGCCACACUGGGACUGAGACACGGCCCAGACU
rnacentral:rRNA from 1 species